GCUAGAUUUAGUGCCCUGCCUUGUCUUUAUUAAAGUUGUCUCCUCUUAAGGAUAUUACUGUUCUACUUGGUGGCAGAUAUUU